GCCCCGGUGGUGUAGCGGCCUAUCAUCCGGGCCUGUCGAGCCCGGGACCCGAGUUCAAAUCUCGGCCGGGGCGCCA
rnacentral:tRNA from 1 species